UAUGCCUCUCAGAUCGAUCAAAGCGGCGACCCCCUUUCCCAAGCUCGAGAGAUUCUGGAAAAGAUGGCGGAGCGAGACGUGGUUUCCUGGACGACGAUGAUCUCCUUGUAUUCUCGGAAUGGCCUGAGCAAGGAAGCGAUGAGUUGCUUCAAGAGAAUGGAUCUAGAAGGCAUCAAACCCGAUAGAAUCGCGCUGGUGGCCAUCGCCGAGGCAUGCACGACCCUCGCAGACGCUAAACACGUCCACGAGAUCGCCAGCCAUGAAGCCACUGUGGAAUCCGACGUAGAACUCGCCGCAGCGU
rnacentral:lncRNA from 1 species